UGAGAAUUACACUGCUUUUAUUCCGCAGCAACUAUUUACAGAGAGUCCCACACAUGGAACUGUUCAUUUAGAAGAGAGCUGAUAUUGUCACAAAGAGGUAAGUACGUGUCGCCCUCUGGGACUUGUCCUGUGGUGCACCUCGUGCUUUUGGCCAUCCGGCUUAACUGUUGCUGCUGCUGGUACGUGCUCCACUGUGACAUGUGCUGUCACUGGUGAGGCUGCACCUGGAGUGCUGUGCUCAGUGCUGGGACCCUCACUACAAAAAGGACACUGAGGCCCUGGAGCAUGUCCAGAGGUGGUGGGGAUGGGUUGGUGGUUGGGCCGUGGAUGAUCUUAGUGCUCUCUUCCAACCUUAGUGAUUCUAUGAUUCUGCAUCAGCACCUGAAAGCUAGAGGAUUUCUGACAUUUCAGCCCGCUUUUCCUUUUUUUUUCUAAAGGACACUUUUUAUUUCCUGGCUCUUAAUUCUGCAAGUUAUCUUUCCUGAAAUUGCCUUUUACCCAUUUUCAUUAGAAGGUUGCUCUUUGAGGGAUUUAUAGCAUUUGUGCUUUCGUUCCACUUGUGUAGAUACAAUCAGUCAAUAAAACACAGCUCUUGAAGGAAGAUAAACGUCUGUAUAUACUCGUAAGCUGUGUUUUAUUAAUGGUGGCUGUAUUUGCUUCUGCUAGAGCUCAAAGGCAGGAUGAAGCUGAGGACAGCACGCUGUAAAUACUCUUCCUCACGUCCCAGCUGUGCAUUGCACGAGUGGAAAGGCGAGGGGCUGCUCACCAGAGGGCUUGCUUCCUUCAGAGCAAUGUUUGGUGAAGAGGAGGAGAGACAGCCAGCAAGACCUGCAUCCCCAUUGAGGCAAAGAGCGCUUAAAACACGCACAGCCCCAGGCAAUGCCCUGCAGGCAGCUCUGCCCACAACCAGACAAGGCAAUGAGCAGCCAUGCCUACUGGUUCUGCCUUUUUCCAUAGUUCUCUGUGCCCAAAUCCCAUCAAAGGACUGGGAACUGUAACUGUAGCCUUGAGUAAUGUUGGUAACUCCCCCCAUGAAAAUAACAAAAACAGAAGUUUGAAAAAGAAUGGAAAUUAUCCUUCUUAUCAGAAUUGCCUUCAAACCCUCCAAAGGGUAAUUGGUAAUGUUAAAAAUAAAGAAUUGAUGCUUAUCAGCAUGCAGGCUAACCUUGCUAACAAGGAGCAUAUGACUAAAGCAUCUGAGGGUAGAACACAUUGGAAUUAAAACUGUAUAAAUCAACAAUCCUUUAACAGAGCGAGGCUGGAAGUUCUGUUGCCUUAAAUGGACAAGGUAUUUUGUUUGGAAGUUGGUUCUCCUAUACCUCCAAAUUCUGUUCUAUAACUUCUGCUGAUGUCCCCUCUGAAAGCAUGACAUCCAUCACAUGUGCUCCUGUUUUCUGUACCCUCACAACCUUAGCACAGGAUGUCCUCAGACCAACCUUUCUCUUGCUUGAGUUCCCUGCCCCCUGUGAGAAUCUGACUGUGCUUCAGUCUCUCUCUUUCCUCCGUAAACUUUGUUCUUCAUAGGGCUUGAAGAAUGUGCUCAAGGCAGUGUUCUUCGUCCCAGGUUUGACAUGGGUUGGUGGGCAUGGUGGGGAUGGGUUGAUAGUUGGGCAUGACGGUCUUGGUGGUCCUUCUCAGCCUUAACGAUUCUAUGAUUCUAUGGUUCUAUACCAGACUCCUGCUGGAGCCAUCCCUGGGGCUUUGUGGGCCAGGAGGAAGAGUGUCCCUGCUGGAGCUGUCUGGGUGUCUUCCAGACCAACCUCAUAUGCGAACAGCGAUAGGGAAGGUUAUAAUUGGUGAUCUGAUCCUCAGUGAUGUGUCAUUACUGCAACGUCCAAAUAACCAAAAUGGAGUUUUUGAUAAUCCUUGUGCUGCACAGCCGUAAGUGCAUCACUUCCCACAUUAAUCCAGAAAAUAGUUUUCUUUUAUGCAAUAAAACCUGUAGGGAGAGAAUGAUCCCAAAGACUUGUGAAACCUUAGGAAAUAGCAAUACGAACUAUUUCAGUCUUAAUUAAAUUACUUGAAAGUAUAAAGUGAAACUGUAUUUUCUGAGUAAGUGAAUGGAGUAAUUAAAAUAAAUCCAAAGACCAGCAGACAUUUAUCUGAGCUGCCCGUGUGUCUUUUUGGUAAUUCUGUUGCACAAAGUUUUUCCUGAAAGGCAAAACAAAGCCACAGAUUACAAAUUGCUGGAGAGAUGGGAGAAUCUAAAGGCACAAAAAGAGGAGGGGUCAGCAUGAAGGUGCUCCAAUUUCAUUUGCAGUUGAUGACAGUGAUUAUGCUCCUCUAGGGGGAUAAUAGGGGCUUAGCAGCAAGGCUGGAGGAUUCAUCCUGACAACGUUUUUUUCCUUUUUGCAGGAAACAAAAAUGGGUCUUCGUGGGGAUGUGAGCAAAUGUGUUGAAUGUGAAACAUCUGUGUGGACAGAUUCAAUGGGACACAUGUUGCAGCCUUUCAGAGCCUGGACCAUACUUUGGAUCUGGAUGUGGUGAUGGGAGAGAUGAGAAGAAUGAAAGCAAUGAAUAUAUCUGCCCUGGGAUGUCCUCAUCUGUCCUGGAAGGCACUGUGCACGUCCUUGGUAUGGUGCAAGAAGCAGUUACGUAAAGAGAACGAGGACAACAUUAACCGUGUACCACUGG